UGCUGGCGGCAUGCCUUACACAUGCAAGUCGAACGGCAGCACGGGGGCAACCCUGGUGGCGAGUGGCGAACGGGUGAGUAAUACAUCGGAACGUGUCCUGUAGUGGGGGAUAGCCCGGCGAAAGCCGGAUUAAUACCGCAUACGCUCUACGGAGGAAAGGGGGGGAUCUUAGGACCUCCCGCUACAGGGGCGGCCGAUGGCAGAUUAGCUAGUUGGUGGGGUAAAGGCCUACCAAGGCGACGAUCUGUAUCUGGUCUGAAAGGACGACCGUCUUCCU
rnacentral:rRNA from 1 species